rnacentral:lncRNA from 1 species
AAAACACCAAAGAACAAUACCAUAUUUUCUGCAUAUUAUAGAUCACCACAUUGAUAAGUUUUAUAUUUAUUCAAUCCGAAAGAGUAUUAGGCAAAUAACUAAUCGGUACCUGGAUUCUUGAAGGUAUUGUAACUUCACGUUUCCUUGUCGAAAAGGUUUUGAAAAACCUCCUUGUACACAACAUUCAUCGUCGACAGUUGAUGAUUUCCAUCUUUGUCGGUAAUAAGAAUCUUUAACCCCCUCCUC